rnacentral:rRNA from 1 species
CACAGGUAGUCAAGAUGAGAAUUCUAAGGUGAGCGAGCGAACUCUCGUUAAGGAACUCGGCAAAAUGACCCCGUAACUUCGGGAGAAGGGGUGCUCUUUAGGGUUAACGCCCAGAAGAGCCGCAGUGAAUAGGCCCAAGCGACUGUUUAUCAAAAACACAGGUCUCUGCUAAACCGUAAGGUGAUGUAUAGGGGCUGACGCCUGCCCGGUGCUGGAAGGUUAAGAGGAGUGGUUAGCUUCUGCGAAGCUACGAAUCGAAGCCCCAGUAAACGGCGGCCGUAACUAUAACGGUCCUAAGGUAGCGAAAUUCCUUGUCGGGUAAGUUCCGACCCGCACGAAAGGCGUAACGAUUUGGGCACUGUCUCAACGAGAGACUCGGUGAAAUCAUAGUACCUGUGAAGAUGCAGGUUACCCGCGACAGGACGGAAAGACCCCGUGGAGCUUUACUGUAGCCUGAUAUUGAAAUUCGGCACAGCUUGUACAGGAUAGGUAGGAGCCUUUGAAACGUGAGCGCUAGCUUACGUGGAGGCGCUGGUGGGAUACUACCCUAGCUGUGUUGGCUUUCUAACCCGCACCACUUAUCGUGGUGGGAGACAGUGUCAGGCGGGCAGUUUGACUGGGGCGGUCGCCUCCUAAAAGGUAACGGAGGCGCUCAAAGGUUCCCUCAGAAUGGUUGGAAAUCAUUCAUAGAGUGUAAAGGCAUAAGGGAGCUUGACUGCGAGACCUACAAGUCGAGCAGGGUCGAAAGACGGACUUAGUGAUCCGGUGGUUCCGCAUGGAAGGGCCAUCGCUCAACGGAUAAAAGCUACCCCGGGGAUAACAGGCUUAUCUCCCCCAAGAGUUCACAUCGACGGGGAGGUUUGGCACCUCGAUGUCGGCUCA